rnacentral:lncRNA from 1 species
GCCGGACUUGACCGACUCAGCGUCGCUGUCCGUGAUCGUAGAUCGUAGAUCGUCGAGGCUCUAGAUACCAAUUGUUGGUUUUAGAGUGCUAGCUCGUAUCCUCCGGGAAGCCAAAACACCAAGUGCAAGCUAGCUAGGCAGCAAGCUAGCAGGGAGCUUAAUGGAUUCUGGCCGUGUACAUACACGUGAACUGGAGCUAGCUUAACGCGAC